rnacentral:misc_RNA from 1 species
UGGCAAACUCACUCUAGCGUCACUUUCAUCAUCUUCUCUCCCCCUCCCCCCCAAGAACCCUUUCAUUUGCAGGAAAAACUUUAAACCCUUUUCUUCUUUUCGGACCCCUACUCUCACCCGCAGUCUCAUUAGUUUCUUCUAUAUCCAUCAAUAGUUUUGUUUGUUUGUUUGUGAUUCUCUGCAGCAGCAGUAGUGUUGAUCAAAGAUGCAUAAUACACGACAAAAACCACAAGAAAUAGUCUACACGAAGCAGCCUUACAUCGAGAAUGUAGGCCCACGCAGAAUCAAAAGUAUGCAAUUCUGCAUGAUGUCUGGAGCGGAGAUUGUAAAAGCUGCAGAGUGUCAAGUUCAUUUGGGUGUAUACUAUGACUCGAGUAGAAAGCCUGUUCAAGGUGGUUUAUUGGAUACGCACAUGGGUCCUGCCAAUAAAAAUAGUACGUGCCAAACUUGUGGUGCUGGGUUUCAUGAGUGUCCUGGGCACUUUGGAUACUUGAAUCUUGUCUUGCCUGUUUUCAAUGUUGGAUAUAUGAGCAAUAUUUUGGACAUUUUGAAGUGCAUCUGUAAGGCUCAUAACGUUCCCAGUUUUUAAUACUGCAUUCCCAUGUGUAAGUAAAUCAGGUAAUACAGGCCUUUUUAUUCUGGAUUUCUCAUUUCUAUUCCUUUUCUUUUUUCUGGAUAACCAAAUAUCCAAGGAAUUGAAAUGGUACUCAACUGGAAUCUUAUUGGAUGCUUGCAUCCCCUUGAACCUGGACAAUUUGUCUCUUCAUCCAUAUUAUGCUUUGUCUUUUUCCCAUCCAUUGUUUCCUCGACAAAAUUUCCUGCAAAGUCUUCCAAUAAAAGCAAUUUAUAUUCAGUGACUCACCUUUGGGAUUUUUAAUAAUUAUGCUGUUCAAGUAACAGUGGUCAAUAAUCUGGCCAGUUAUGCACCUUUUGGGGUGCUAAUUUUGUUCCUAGAUUUUUGUCUGGAAUUUCUUUACAAUUUUUUAGAAAUCUUUCAAUGAGGGUAAUUGAUGCUAGAGAAAUUGCACCGUCAAACCAAUAGUUGUAGUUGUCAACUUGUCAUUGCUUAUCAUACUUGAUAUAUUGGUUCUGAGUGCUUUUAUUUUCUCUGCAGUCUUGCUCUCAUAUACUUAUGGGAGAUAAAUUAUAUAAAGAACAAUUGAGAAAGAUGAGAAAUCCCAAGAUAGAUCCUCUGAGAAAGAGUGAUCACGUGAAAAUGAUUGUAAAGAAGUGUAGUACCAUGGUGAGCAAUAAAGCUGUGAAGUGCAUGAGAUGUGGAGAUAUGAAUGGUAUGGUCAAGAAGGCUGGGUCUGCUCUAAGCAUUAUUCAUGAUCGUGGAAAAUUAGUUAAUGGCUAUUUGGAUGAAUGUAAAUCUGCAAUUUCACACACAAAAGAGUCUAGGGCACCAAUAAGUCCAGCUACAUAUAUUCUUAAUCCUGCCAGAGUUUUGUCUCUUUUUGAAAGAAUGUCGGAGGAGGAUUGUGAAGUGCUUGGUCUGUGUGACCGACCUGAGAAACUCAUUAUAACAAACAUUGCUGUGCCACCUAUACCAAUCCGCCCUUCUGUUAUCAUGGAUGGAUCUCAAAGUAAUGAAAAUGACAUCACAGAGAGGUUAAAACAAAUUAUUCAGGCAAAUGCUAGCCUUCGUAUGGAAUUACUAGAAGGAAGGAGGAGUAUGAACAAAUAUCUGGAUUCCUGGGAUGGUCUUCAAGCUGCAGUUGCACUCUAUGUAAAUAGUGAUGUUCGUGUUCCAAAUAAUGUGGAAGUUGGGAAGCCACUGAGUGGCUUUGUUCAGCGCCUUAAAGGAAAGCAGGGGCGAUUUCGUGGGAAUUUAUCUGGGAAGCGUGUUGAAUACACGGGCAGGACUGUUAUAUCACCAGACCCUAAUCUGAAAAUUACUGAGGUAGCAGUUCCCAUCCAUAUGGCUCGGAUUCUAUCUUAUCCUGAACGUGUUUCCCAACACAAUAUUGAGAAGUUGAGGCAGUGUGUCAGUAAUGGCCCUCAUAAAUACCCUGGUGCAAGGAUGGUCAGAUAUCUUGAUGGUUCUUCAAAUGUGUUGACAGGUAAUUACAGAAAACGCAUUGCGGAUGAACUGAAAGUUGGUUGUAUAGUCGAUCGCCAUUUAGAAGAUGGAGAUAUUGUUCUUUUUAACAGACAACCAAGCUUGCAUCGAAUGUCUAUCAUGUGCCAUAGGGCAAGAGUCAUGCCUUGGAGGACAUUGAGAUUUAAUGAAUCUGUUUGCAAUCCAUAUAAUGCUGAUUUUGAUGGUGAUGAGAUGAAUAUGCAUGUCCCACAAACAGAAGAGGCUCGAACAGAGGCUCUCAUGCUGAUGGGGGUGCAAAACAAUUUGUGCACACCAAAAAAUGGAGAGAUCUUGGUUGCUUCCACCCAAGAUUUUCUAACAUCAUCUUUUCUCAUUACAAGGAAGGACACAUUUUAUGACCGUGCGGCUUUCUCACUUAUGUGUUCUUAUAUGAAUGAUGGCAUGGAUGUUGUUGAUUUGCCAACACCUGCAAUACUGAAGCCAAUAGAGCUUUGGACUGGUAAACAAUUAUUCAGCGUCCUACUUCGUCCAAAUGCAAAUGUGAGAGUCUUCCUGAAUCUCAUUGUUAAGGAGAAAAUCUACUCCAAACCUAAAAAGGGGGAUAAAAGAGAAAAAGAAACAAUGUGCCCCAAUGAUGGUUUUGUUUAUAUCCGGAAUAGUGAGCUAAUAUCUGGACAACUAGGAAAGGCAACUCUAGGAAAUGGCAACAAGGAUGGACUUUACUCUGUUCUUCUUAGAGACUACAAUGCACAUGCUGCUGCUACUUGCAUGAAUCGGCUAGCUAAAUUGAGUGCUCGAUUUAUAGGAAAUCAUGGCUUCUCAAUAGGGAUUGAUGAUGUCCAACCAGGGAAAAAAUUGAUUGAUGAAAAAGGGAAAACGAUUUCAAAUGGUUAUCAACAGUGUGAUAAACUAAUAGAGGAAUACAAUGAAGGAAAGCUUUCACUUAAACCUGGUUGCGAUGCCAUUCAAACACUGGAAGCUGAAAUUACUGAGAAAUUAAAUAAGCUUCGAGAAGAAGCUGGUGAUGUAUGCAUGAAAGAAUUGCAUUGGAGAAACAGUCCAUUGAUCAUGUCACAGUGUGGAUCGAAAGGAUCCCCUAUCAAUAUCAGCCAGAUGAUUGCAUGUGUUGGUCAGCAAUCAGUUGGAGGUCGUCGUGCACCAGAUGGAUUCAUACACCGAAGCCUUCCUCAUUUCCCUAGAAAAUCCAAAACCCCUGCAGCUAAAGGCUUUGUUGCUAAUUCAUUCUAUAGUGGUUUGACAGCAACUGAGUUUUUCUUCCAUACCAUGGGUGGAAGGGAAGGUCUUGUGGACACUGCGGUCAAAACAGCCGAUACUGGGUACAUGUCUCGUAAACUAAUCAAAGGACUAGAGGACUUGUCUAUCCAAUAUGAUAAUACAGUACGAAAUGCAAGUGGAUGCAUAGUUCAAUUUCUUUAUGGAGAUGAUGGCUUGGAUCCUGCAAGAAUGGAAGGAAAAGGUGGAUUUCCAUUGAAUCUUGAUCGAUUGUUCAUAAAAGUAAAGGCCACCUGUCCUGCUGGAGAAGAGGACUACGUAUCUCCUUCAGAAAUCUCCAAUAUGGUGGAAGAUUUACUAGUAAAGUAUGAUAUGGCUCUUGGUGGCAUUUGUUCUGAAGCCUUCAAAAAAAGUCUGAGUUCCUUCCUUGGAGAUCAUGUGAAGAGAUUGGAAAGCAUGAUGAACCUGGUUGAUGGUGUUGAGGGGCAAAAUUCUGAGAAUAUAGAAGUUGGAGCUGUAAGAGGAAAUACAGAAAAUAUAGAAAAAAUGGCGCAUAAGAUAUUUGGUACUACUGAAAGACAGCUACAGGUUUUUUUGAGAACCUGCAUAGAUCGUUAUCUUUGGAAAAGAGUGGAACCUGGGACUGCAAUUGGUGCAAUUGGUGCUCAAAGUAUAGGAGAGCCUGGAACACAAAUGACAUUGAAGACAUUUCACUUUGCUGGAGUUGCAAGCAUGAAUAUAACACAAGGAGUUCCUCGCAUCAAAGAAAUAAUAAAUGGGGCCAAAAAGAUCAGUACACCAAUCAUUACUGCUGAACUUGAGCAUAAUACUAAUGUGAAUGCUGCUCGAAUUGUUAAAAGUCGCAUCCAAAAAACUACUUUAGGCCAGGUUGCUAAGAGUAUCAAAAUUGUGAUGACUUCAAGAUCAGCAUCUGUAGUGGUCUCACUGGACAUGAAGACAAUUCAAGAGGCACAAUUAUCUCUGGAUGCUAACAUUGUGAAGGAAUCAAUAUUACAAACUCCAAGAAUUAAACUAAAGCCACAGAAUGUCAAGGUUUUGGAUAUUAGAAAGUUGGAAGUUAUUCCUCUGGGUGACAGAGAGAAAGUUCAUUUUGAACUCCAUUCUCUUAAAAAUAUGCUUCCAAGAGUUGUAGUAAAGGGCAUAAGAACUGUUGACCGUGUUGUUAUUGCCCAAAAGAAAAAUGAGGGUAAAGGAAGUGAUCAAGAGCUCCCAACAUACAACAUGUUUGUAGAAGGCACUGGUCUUCAAGAUGUUAUGGGGACUGAAGGAGUGGAUGGACGCAAAACAACAUGUAAUCAUGUAAUGGAAGUUCAUAAAUACCUCGGAAUCGAGGCUUCAAGAAAAUGUAUUAUUGAUGAGAUAAAAAAUGUUAUGGAAGGUCAUGGAAUGAGCAUUGACAUACGCCAUAUGAUGCUUUUAGCAGAUCUAAUGACAUUUAAGGGCGAAGUUCUUGGAAUCAAUAGAUUUGGCAUUCAGAAGAUGGAAAAAAGUGUAUUGAUGUUGGCUUCAUUUGAAAAAACAGCAGAUCACCUUUUCCAUGCUGCUGUAAAUGGUAGGGAUGACGGGAUUGAGGGAGUUAGUGAAUGUAUCAUAAUGGGCAUCCCUAUGCAGCUAGGCACUGGAAUACUCAGAGUACAGCAAAGGGUUGAUCCGCUGCCAAUGCUGAGUUAUGGAGCCGAUCCAAUCAUCCCUUGAGAGUUGGUUUGUCCAAAGCUCAUCAACCGAUGCAUACAGAUGAUUGCAUUACACAUGGUGCAUGUGCAUUAGUUUGCUAUUUGUUAAAGGUUAGAAUAUGUACAUAGAAACCUAAAUUUUAUCGAAUGGUUUAAUAUAUAUAUAUAAUUAUAUAAUUUUGCUGCAGAAAGAAAGAAAAAUGAUCAACCCAACCCCCCAGGAAAAGCUCUAGUUUCUCUCCCAGAGUUAACCGUGUACCGAUGGUGAUAUUGGUUGCACAUGGUUGACUUCCAGUGAGCAAAUUAUGGACGUGUUAUGGCAGAGCCAUAACCUAGCAUAAAAACAGGGAAGAAGAAAAAGAAAGGGAGGAAGAGUUCUGUAUUAUAAUUUUGUAUUAUUUAAUUCAUCAAUAAUUGUUCCUUUACAUGUUUACAUUAUUUAUAACAUUUCUUAUUCAUUCAUCCAGUUGCAACUAAUCUCCUAACUGCCUAACAGCUUUUCUAACUUCCUUCAGCAGCUCACUAACUAUCUCAUAGCUGCAUAGCUGUCACUAGGGGUGGCCACGGUUCAGGAAC